GGAUGUUAAUAAGGGUGUGUACUCACAAUCUAUAUUAAUGUAUUUCACUAAUGAUCCCUCCUUUCAAUUUUCAUGUAUUUAUUUUGUAUUUGCCGUUCACGAAAAUGUGAUAAUUUAGGUUUGUCCUUUAUUUGAGUCAUUUUUGGGAAAAGAGUUUUAUAUUGAUUUUACGUUGUGACGUCAUAUCUGUUCAGCCCGCGCUGCGUCCUCAGACCGCGCUGAGCACGCUGAGGAGAGGUAAGCAGUUAGCGGUGCUCCGCCAAUAUAAAGUUGUAAAAGUUACCAGAAUUGUUAAUAAGUACUUAAUAUGCUAAAAUAUUAUUGUUAAGAGUGUUAUAAACGUACUGAAAAUUGUUUUAUGUGUGGAUGGAUGACAUCUAAUGGUUUAUCAUUGAGUACAGCGGUUUGAGUAUGUAUGUGCGUCAGUAGGACACAGUGAUUUUAGUGAAUCAAUUAACUGGUGUUGUAUCUGUCCAGGUGGAAAAAUCACAGAACGAAAACCUUUCUCAUUGUUGUACUCUCUCUGCUCCAUCCAGACCGCGCUGAGCACGCUGAGGAGAGGUGGAAAAAUCACAGAACGAAAACCUUUCUCAUUGUUGUACUCUCUCUGCUCCAUCCAGCACCUGCAUGCUCCAUUUCAAUAAACCCUCCAUCAGCAGCA